AUAACAGUUGGCUCUAAGUUGAACGCAGUCCCAGUGGAAUCUGCCUCAGGAGGAUUAUUGUAGGUUGUGUCUUCAGAGAUGGUGCCUUCUGGCAUAGCAUUGUUUUCCAUAAAAAUGUUUUCUUCAAAGUCAUAUCCUGCAGCGGUGUGUUUUACAUCUGAAGGAGCAAAAAGUUCUGGGAAAGGAUUUUUUUGAGGAGUCCUGUCUCCUAAAGAUGAAGAAGCCCCUUCUGAAGGGGAAUUUAUGAGGCUCUUUGCUGCAGAGAACGGAGGCUUCUUGGCAAGCAUCAGUCUGUUGAGAGAACUUUUCUUUCUGAACUUUCGACUCUUUUUGACCUUGGGUGUUCAAAAAGAACUCCCUUGGGAGCGAGUUUUAUGAAAGCGGUCUCAGCGCGGUCGCCUCCGUCCCUCACCGACCCUGCCGCAGGCCCAGCCUGGCCUCCUCCCCGGCGGCUGGCUGCACGCGCCGAAGCUCCUGCGCCUUCCGGGUCUCACGGCGCGCACAACUCCCCGCGCCCGCCUGCACAGCCGCGCCCAGACGUCGCCGGCCCAUGGACGCGGCCUCGGGCCCGUUGCCUCCCGUUGCAGCCCGCCUCUGAGGCGCGGUUCGCCACAGGCCCGGCUCAUCCGCGCCGCAGCCGAAACCCUGGACGCCAAGCAGCAGCUGCAACUAGCAGCGGAGCACCCCACGCACUGCACCGAGCGCGGGUCAUUUGCUCUCCCUGGAAGGAGGAGUAUUCUCAGAUUUCACCUUGGUGGAGGAAGAGUUCAGGCUGCCAGAACUGGGCUAGCACUUCUGAAUAUCCUGAGACAAGGUCCUGUGACUUCCCUGGGAAGCUCUGCAGUGCCCCCACCAGACUCCACCCCACCCCACCAGGCUGCUGGAGUCCUGGGACCCACCCGGGUCUUCAGCCCAAAUCCUUCCUUGCUAAGGGGGGGCAGGGCUGGGUAGGGGGCUUGGGCGGGAUUGUGACAUAAGCUCACCCUGGUGACAUGGAGCAGAACUGGACCCAAUCCUAACAAAGGUAGUGUAAAUAAAGGUGUCAUAAAGGAUGGGGCGGGGCGCCUG
rnacentral:lncRNA from 13 species